AACGUAGGAGACAAACGUUAUCCGGAGUUACUGGGCGUAAAGGGCGUGUAGGUGGUUUCGUAAGUCUGGCGUGAAAUUUUUCGGCUUAACCGGGAAAGGUCGUCGGAUACUGCGGGACUGGAGGACGGUAGAGGCGUGUGGAAUUCCGGGUGUAGUGGUGAAAUGCGUAGAUAUCUGGAGGAACACCGGUGGCGAAGGCGGCAUCCUGGACCGGCAUUGACGCUGAGGCGCGAAAGCCAGGGGAGCAAAACGGGG
rnacentral:rRNA from 1 species